ACUGGCUAGGAUGACACACUUGCCCUCACUGAGACAAUUCAUUGAUGAGAGCUCAUCAUUGGUUCUGAGCCAGU